ensembl:lncRNA LINC01002 long intergenic non-protein coding RNA 1002
UCAAGCAAUCCUCUCACCUUGGCCCCCCACAGUGCAAGGAUUACAGGUAUGAGCCACCAUGCCUGGCCCCUACCCUGCCUACUGAGAACCAAAGGAAGGAUCCAAAUUCUCCUUAGCUCAACUCGAGCCAUUUCCUGAUUGCUUCAUCAGUGAGGAGCUGGUUAUUGGGCUGUCCAGGCCUCCCAAGCAGCACAGAAAUGAGAAACAGGACCUUGCCCUGUCACUCAGGAUGGAGUUCAGUGGUCCUAUCAUGGCUCAUUAUAGCCUCAAACUCCCAGGCUCAAGCAAUCCUACCAUGUCAGCCUUCCCAGUAGCUGGAACUACAGCUGGAUCUACCAUGAAAGACUUGUGAAUCCAGGAAGAGAGACUGACUGGGCAACAUGUUAUUCAGGUACAAAAAGAUUUGGACUGUAACUUAAAAAUGAUCAAAUUAUGUUUCCCAUGCAUCAGGUGCAAUGGGAAGCUCUUCUGGAGAGUGAGAGAAGCUUCCAGUUAAGGUGACAUUGAAGCCAAGUCCUGAAAGAUGAGGA